GAACUUGCUGUUGAUGUUGUUUAUGAUCAUAUGAAGGUCUCCUCUUCCGGAGUCUGUGAGGUCUAUUAUUGAGGAGGGAAUCAAUCUGUACAAGCUUCAUACAAACAAGCAUGGCAGGUCAGUGUAACAUUCAGCAAAUGUAGUUCAUGAUUUCCUCCAAACCCUCUCCUCUUUUUGCACUUGAGUUAAUAGUGUUCUUGGUAAGAAGCAGCAUUAUGCCUUCCGAUAUGUUGCACGAUGUGGAGCUAUCUCGCUUUUACAUCCUCAGCUAAAAAAUUAUUUUCAAUAUAGUAGUUUUUGUUGAAGCAAUUAUGAAUUGAAUUUGAGGUUUCCACUUUCUCCAGAAUGCUUUAUUAAACGUAUGGAUAUUAUGUGUGAAUCUUUCUUCCAUCUUCUUCAUCUAGGAAGCUUCGAUUCUCAUUUCUUUGUGAUGAUUGAGUUGCAUUAUGAUGCAAAGAGGUCUUGAUAUUUAAUGGUUAACUGUGAAUACUUCUUCAUUGAUUUCCAGUGUCUUGACUCUACUAUUUUUGAGCAUGAUUUGGAGCUAUGAAACUCCUUUUAACACUUUAAUAUAUAAUUCUGCUCUUGUUGUGUUGCUUUGCCUAAUAAUAACUUUGUAUAUCCACAUGCAUGUUGUGUCCUAAAUUAACUGCAAUACGACUAUGAAAACCUGCAUUAGAGCACCAGAUAGGCAGCGAUGAAGAAAAAUGGCCACCAUAACUUAUAUUGGACCACCUGAUCCAAAGGUAUAAUGACUCAUACUCCACUACUCAAUUCUUUCAACCUUCUUUCUUUUUUUUUUUUUUUUUUUUUUACUUAAAAGUCAUUUUAGUUUUACCAAUAACUUUAUCCCUUAUAUUUUUUUAUUAAUUUUAAUACAAUCAUUAUUUCUACAAAUCCUUUAACCACUUUUAUCUAAAUAAUAAUUCCUUCUUUAUAAAAUAAUUUUUAACCCUUAAAACUGCUUUGAGCACUUGCCCUUAAGAACCACUUUUUUCCGGCUAUCGGGCUAAUGUUCUGCUUGAAUAGCAACACCAUCGCAGUAAUUGGAUUUGUUGGCUUGACCAUAAGCGCAGUAAUCAAGCAUGGCCCAAAAUAGCAGGAGAAGACCAAACAUCCUAAUUACAGGAACACCUGGUACCGGGAAAACAACAACAUCGUCAGCACUAGCAGAGACAACACAACUCCGACACAUAAACAUCGGGGAACUUGUUAAAGACAAAAAAUUGCACGAUGGAUGGGACGAUACUUUAGACUGUUACAUCAUCAAUGAAGACCUCGGAAACCACAUUUAGCAGUAUUUUCUCUGAUUUCUGCAGAUAAAAUGUGAUGAGGAUUCAGAGAGAAGAACUCAAAAAAUUGUCUGGAGGGGAAUUCAUCAGCCACCAAGCUGUCCCACAAAUGCUUGUAGCACAUUAGCUGAAGCCUGUCAAAGAAGGGAUCACCAGUUCAUCACAUUUGUACCCGUAAGUACAUUUAGAAUAGGAAGGAUCUCUCUUCAUCUGAGAGAUGCACCAUAUUAAAAUUUAUUUACUAGUCAACAUCAAGUGCAAAACUAUACCUUCCGUUUCUCCGUUGUGGUUCAGCAGGAAGGCUAGCUCUCACUCGUGUUUUUGUGUCAACUAACAUUGGAUAUGCAUCACUUUGUCCUUUUGGCA